UCAAUUUAAUUAAUUAACUCACAAAAAUUUUCUUUGCAUAACCAAGCAUAACGGUUUCCUGAUGGUGGACAAUCCCCUAUAUAUUUGCAGGGGAUAUUAGCUGCAUUGUCAAAUAAGAAAAAAGGAACGUCAUUAAAAAAUUUAUACUAUUGUGUAUAAGAUAAAUUUGAAAAUUGUAUAAAAAAUGACAUACUUUUCUUAUAAGCAAAGGAUUCAACAAGAAAUGUAAAAAAAAAAAUGAUCAAAGCAUAAAUAAACAUGUCGAUUUUAGUUGUACUUUUCUUAUUUUGUAUUUCG
rnacentral:lncRNA from 1 species